CUUUUCCAGACCUGUGGUUGCUGGAUGUACAGCUUUGUCCUAGGCUCUCCCACUGGGCUGGUGAGAUAGCUCAGUUGGCACUGCCUGCCAAACCUCACAACGUAUCUUUCAGAUUUUGUCGAGCAAACUCUUCAAAAACCAGAUUUUCAUCCUGGACACUAGAAGAAAACAGACAUGUCAGUCAGUGUUCUUACUCUGGGAAGCUGAGGAUUAAAUCCUGAAUGGAACAAGACUACUGAUCUUUCGGUAGUAAAGGAACCAAUCCAA
rnacentral:lncRNA from 1 species